rnacentral:rRNA from 1 species
GAUGAACGCUGGCGGCGUGCCUAAUACAUGCAAGUCGAGCGAACGGACGCGACUCUUGCUUCUCUGAUGUUACCGGCGGACGGGUGAGUCACACGUGGAUAACCCCCCUAUAUGACUUAGAUAACUUCGGGAAGCCGUAGUUCUUACCGGGUACUAUUUUGAACCGCAUGGUUGAAAAGUUAAAGACGGUCUUGGUGUCACUUCUCGAUGUAUCCGCGCUGCAUUAGCUAGUUGGGAAGGUAACGGUUUACCAAGGCAACGAUGCAUAGCCGACCUGAGAGGGUGAGCGGCCACACGGGAACUGAGACACGGUCCAGACUCCUACGGGAGGCAGCAGUAGGGAAUCUGCCGCAAUGGGCGAAAGCCUGACGGAGCAACGCCGCGUGAGUGAUGAAGGUCUUCGGAUCGUAAAACUCUGUUAUGAGGGAAGAACAUAUGUGUAAGUAACUGUGCACAGUGUGACGGGACCUAAUCAGAAAGCCACGGCUAACUACGUG